GGAAAUGCUGUCGUCUUCACAAAUUUAUCUUCCUAACUGGGUUCCAUGAUGCAGGCAUGAUGCCUAUGUGCCCAUGAUGCAGGUAUAUCAUGGCAUUUUGCACUCUUCUUAGUUCUUUGAAACAGAGUCAGAAGAUGGAAGGUAAAGGGAGGUGAAAAAGAUAUACCAUGGUUCCUAGAGUUUUCUAAGAGACUCUAGAAAUAACCCAAAACAGCCCCUCUCACAGGGAGAAAAGGCUGAGUGCAGAGCAGUUUAGCAUGAAGUCAGAUAGUUUUCUGGUGGCGCAACAGAGAUUAGGAUGCAGAUGUCCUUUUCCUCAAGUCUUGGGUGGCAAUAGCCACAGUAGGCCCACAAGGGGUUAAGUGGGGCCAGAGAGAUGGGGAAGAAUAUAUAUCAAGUCCAAGAAAACCUCAGCAGAGAGACAGACACAAGUUAAGGACAGUAGAAUAAAGGAUCAUGAGCCAAGGUGGAUAGUCAGCGUGGUCGGAAGAGACGUUGGUAGACAACAGGACUCUAUGCCAGGCAG
rnacentral:lncRNA from 1 species